UACGGAGGGAGCUAGCGUUGUUCGGAAUUACUGGGCGUAAAGCGCGCGUAGGCGGCUUUGUAAGUUAGAGGUGAAAGCCCGGGGCUCAACCCCGGAAUAGCCUUUAAGACUGCAUCGCUAGAAUCCGGGAGAGGUGAGUGGAAUUCCGAGUGUAGAGGUGAAAUUCGUAGAUAUUCGGAAGAACACCAGUGGCGAAGGCGGCUCACUGGCCUGGUAUUGACGCUGAGGUGCGAAAGCGUGGGGAGCAAACAGG
rnacentral:rRNA from 1 species